GAUGAACGCUGGCGGCGUGCCUAAUACAUGCAAGUCGAGCGAACAGAUGAGAAGCUUGCUUCUCUGAUGUUAGCGGCGGACGGGUGAGUAACACGUGGGUAACCUACCUAUAAGACUGGGAUAACUCCGGGAAACCGGGGCUAAUACCGGAUAAUAUUUUGAACCGCAUGGUUCAAUAGUGAAAGACGGUUUCGGCUGUCACUUAUAGAUGGACUCGCGCCGUAUUAGCUAGUUGGUAAGGUAACGGCUUACCAAGGCGACGAUACGUAGCCGACCUGAGAGGGUGAUCGGCCACACUGGAACUGAGACACGGUCCAGACUCCUACGGGAGGCAGUAGUAGGGAAUCUUCCGCAAUGGGCGAAAGCCUGACGGAGCAACGCCGCGUGAGUGAUGAAGGUCUUCGGAUCGUAAAACUCUGUUGUUAGGGAAGAACAAAUUUGUUAGUAACUGAACAAGUCUUGACGGUACCUAACCAGAAAGCCACGGCUAACUACGUGCCAGCAGCCGCAGUAA
rnacentral:rRNA from 1 species